CGCCAUGCACUGGAAACCACGAGCGUCAAACCGCUCGUCAAUGUCACACUUGGCCCAGGCAACCAAUCAAAUAAAGCAAGAGCAUCGCUGCGGCCAAAGGAGCUGUUCACCAUGGCAACAGGAGAGACCGAGGGGGGGGAGUGAGCCGACGGCUGUCUGAAAAUAUACAGCGUGUGUACGUGUUGCAAAAAAUACCAGCAGUGUUACAAACUGAAGCUUGAAGACGUGUGUGGGGAGAAAGAUGGAGAACGACAGGCAGCACAAGAGCCACAGGUCGGAUUCGAACCCCGGGCUGCUGCAGCGAGGACUGAGCCUUCGUACACGGGGCGGAUGUUCUACCGACUGAGCUAAAC